rnacentral:rRNA from 1 species
AGCCAGAACACAGGUGCUGCAUGGCUGUCGUCAGCUCGUGUCGUGAGGAUGUGGUUAAGUCCCGCAACGAGCGCAACCCUUGUCAUUAGUUGCCAUCGAUUUGGUUGGGCACUCUAAUGAGACUGCCGGUGACAAACCGGAGGAAGGUGGGGAUGACGUCAAGUCCUCAUGGCCCUUAUGGGUAGGGCUUCACACGUCAUACAAUGGUCGGUACAGAGGGUUGCCAACCCGCGAGGGGGAGCUAAUCCCACAAAGCCGAUCGUAGUCCGGAUCGCAGUCUGCAACUCGACUGCGUGAAGUCGGAAUCGCUAGUAAUCGUGGAUCAGCAUGUCACGGUGAAUACGUUCCCGGGUCUU